UACGGAGGGGGCUAGCGUUGUUCGGAAUUACUGGGCGUAAAGCGCACGUAGGCGGCUUUGUAAGUUAGAGGUGAAAGCCCGGGGCUCAACUCCGGAAUUGCCUUUAAGACUGCAUCGCUAGAAUUGUGGAGAGGUAAGUGGAAUUCCGAGUGUAGAGGUGAAAUUCGUAGAUAUUCGGAAGAACACCAGUGGCGAAGGCGAGUCCCUGGACAAAACCUGACACUGAGGCACGAAAGCUAGGGGAGCAAACAGG
rnacentral:rRNA from 1 species